AUACGUAGGUGACAAGCGUUAUCCGGAUUUACUGGGCGUAAAGGGCGUGUAGGCGGUCUUGCAAGUCAGAAGUGAAAUUCCUGAGCUCAACUCGGGCGCUGCUUCUGAAACUGCAGGACUUGAGUGCUGGAGGGGAUAGCGGAAUUCCUAGUGGAGCGGUAAAAUGCGCAGAUAUUAGGAAGAACACCGGUGGCGAAGGCGGCUAUCUGGACAGUAACUGACGCUGAGGCGCGAAAGCGUGGGGAGCAAACAGGAUUAGAUACCCUGGUAGUCCACGCUGUAAACUAUGAUAACUAUCUUUUAGCGAUACACAGUUAGAGGGUACGAGAAAUCAUUAAGUUAUCCAUCUGGGGAUUACGUUCGCAAGAAUGAAACUCAAAGGAAUUGGCGGGG
rnacentral:rRNA from 1 species